UUUUCCACCGGAGCUUGCUCCACCGGAAAAAGAAGAGUGGCGAACGGGUGAGUAACACGUGGGUAACCUGCCCAUCAGAAGGGGAUAACACUUGGAAACAGGUGCUAAUACCGUAUAACAAUCGAAACCGCAUGGUUUUGAUUUGAAAGGCGCUUUCGGGUGUCGCUGAUGGAUGGACCCGCGGUGCAUUAGCUAGUUGGUGAGGUAACGGCUCACCAAGGCCACGAUGCAUAGCCGACCUGAGAGGGUGAUCGGCCACAUUGGGACUGAGACACGGCCCAAACUCCUACGGGAGGCAGCAGUAGGGAAUCUUCGGCAAUGGACGAAAGUCUGACCGAGCAACGCCGCGUGAGUGAAGAAGGUUUUCGGAUCGUAAAACUCUGUUGUUAGAGAAGAACAAGGAUGAGAGUAACUGUUCAUCCCUUGACGGUAUCUAACCAGAAAGCCACGGCUAACUACGUGCCAGCAGCCGCGGUAAUACGUAGGUGGCAAGCGUUGUCCGGAUUUAUUGGGCGUAAAGCGAGCGCAGGCGGUUUCUUAAGUCUGAUGUGAAAGCCCCCGGCUCAACCGGGGAGGGUCAUUGGAAACUGGGAGACUUGAGUGCAGAAGAGGAGAGUGGAAUUCCAUGUGUAGCGGUGAAAUGCGUAGAUAUAUGGAGGAACACCAGUGGCGAAGGCGGCUCUCUGGUCUGUAACUGACGCUGAGGCUCGAAAGCGUGGGGAGCAAACAGGAUUAGAUACCCUGGUAGUCCACGCCGUAAACGAUGAGUGCUAAGUGUUGGAGGGUUUCCGCCCUUCAGUGCUGCAGCUAACGCAUUAAGCACUCCGCCUGGGGAGUACGACCGCAAGGUUGAAACUCAAAGGAAUUGACGGGGGCCCGCACAAGCGGUGGAGCAUGUGGUUUAAUUCGAAGCAACGCGAAGAACCUUACCAGGUCUUGACAUCCUUUGACCACUCUAGAGAUAGAGCUUCCCCUUCGGGGGCAAAGUGACAGGUGGUGCAUGGUUGUCGUCAGCUCGUGUCGUGAGAUGUUGGGUUAAGUCCCGCAACGAGCGCAACCCUUAUUGUUAGUUGCCAUCAUUCAGUUGGGCACUCUAGCAAGACUGCCGGUGACAAACCGGAGG
rnacentral:rRNA from 1 species